UGACGAUUGCAGUGUAAACGAAGCAGAGGCAUAUGGAUUCCAUUGCCCAUAAGUCUCAGACAGACUUAAAAAAAAAAAAAAAAAAUCAAGGGGAAAUGUGCUCAGCACAAUGUACGCUGCUUGCUUGAGCCCCAGACAUAUGAAGAACACCGACCCAUCCCUAGUUAUAACACUGGGGUGCAGAAGAGCCCAGGAUUCAUGGAGACAAGCUCAACUGUUCCCAUCUGCUGGGUGGGCAACCAGGAAUUUCCAGCUGUGCUCCUUCUUCUCACCCCACUCUAGACCCUCAACCCCAGAUCACAUCAAAGACCCCAGAGGCCCUUACUUCACCAGAGCUGAUGUACCAGGCAAGAAAAGCCCCCCUGGCAGAUGGCUCCCUUGGUAGAGUGCACAUGUUACUAUGAAGAGCUGGGUGCAAGCCCCCACAUUCUCACCUGCACAGGGGGAGGGGAGCUUCAGGAGCAGAUGGCUGGGAAUAGAAUGAAGAGAUACUGCACCAAACAUUCAUGCCUCAAGCCCCAGAGGUCCUGUGUUCAAUUCCUGACACUACCAUAAGCCAGCGCUGAGCAGUGCUCUGGCUUCUCCUUCAUGAAAAUAAAUAAACUUCACAUCUUAAAAAAUAAAUAAACGAGAUCAGAAGAGAAACAUUAAGCAGAACCUGGACUGGAGUUGGUGUAUUGCACCCAAGUAAAAGUUUCUGGGGUGGAUGGAGGGGAGAAUACAGGUCCUGGAAAAGAAUGACAGAGGACCUAGUGGGGAUUGUAUUGUUAUGUGGAAAACUGAGACCUGUUAUGCAUGUACAAACUAUUGUAUUUACUGUCAGAUGUAAAACAUUAAUCCCCCAAUAAAGAGGAAAAAAGUGGUUGGAAAUAAAUAAAUAAAUAAAUAAAUAAAUAAAUAAAUAAAUAAAGGCCAGUCAAUGAUACAGUCAAAUUGAGCACACUUUAUUAUGCACAAAGACAUGCACUCAAACCCCCAGUCUCUACCUGCAGGGGGUGAAGACAAUGGGAGGAAGCUUCAGAAGCAGUGAAGUAGUGCUGCAGACAUCUUGCUGCAGACAUCCCUCUCUCUAUCUCCCCCUCUCUUCUUAAUUUCUCCUAUCAAAUAAAAAGGAAAAAAAAAAAAAGGAAGGGGAGGAAGAAGGGGGAAGAGGAAAAAUGGCCACCAGGAGCAGUGGCUUCAUCCUACAUUCACUGAGCUCCAGAGAUAACCCUGCUGGCAAAAGCAUCUGCUAUGUGUGCCACACUCUUUUGUGUUACUACCUAUAAGGGCACACGCAUGCACAUGCGCGCGCACACUCACACACACACACACACACCACAUUCUCUGUAUAUCGUCAUUUUUAAACUUCUUAUGGACAAGCUGAUUUCUUUUUUUUUAUUUUUUAUUUAUUUAUUUUUUAUUUAUUAUUUAUUUAUUUUAUUUAUUUUUUUUUAUUUUUUAUUUAUUAAAACAUUGACAUAACUAUAGGAUAAGAGGGGUACAACUUCGAACAGUUCCCACCACCAGACCUUCAUAUCCCAUCCCCUUCCCUGAUAGCUUUCCUAUUCUUUAUCCCUCUGGGAGUAUUGACCCAGGAUCAUUAUGGGGUGCAGAAGGUGGAAGGUCUGGAUUCUGUAAUUGCUUCCCCACUGAACAUGGGCAUUGGCAGGCUGAUCCAUACUCCCAGGCUGUCUCUCUCUUUCUCUAGUGGGGAUGGGCUCUAGGGAAGCAGAGCUCCUGGACACAUU